rnacentral:rRNA from 1 species
UACGUAGGGGGCAAGCGUUGUCCGGAAUUAUUGGGCGUAAAGCGCGCGCAGGCGGUUAGGUAAGUUUGGUGUUUAAUUCCGGGGGCUCAACCCCGGGUCGCACUGAAAACUGCUUGACUUGAGUGCGGGAGAGGAAAGUGGAAUUCCACGUGUAGCGGUGAAAUGCGUAGAGAUGUGGAGGAACACCAGUGGCGAAGGCGACUUGCCAGAACGCACUCGACGGUGAGGGAUGAAAGCUGGGGGAGCAAACCGG